UACGUAGGGGGGCAAGCGUUGUCCGGAUUUAUUGGGCGUAAAGAGCGUGUAGGCGGCCAUACAGGUCCGUUGUGAAAACUGGAGGCUUAACCUCCAGACGUCGAUGGAAACCGUAUGGCUAGAGUCCGGAAGAGGAGAGUGGAAUUCCUGGUGUAGCGGUGAAAUGCGCAGAUAUCAGGAAGAACACCAACGGCGAAGGCAGCUCGCUGGGACGGUACUGACGCUGAGACGCGAAAGCGUGGGGAGCGAACAGG
rnacentral:rRNA from 1 species